CUUUUUCAUUUCAUCCUCUUAAGCUAGUGUUUCAUGGGCCUGCUUUGCCCCAGGUCCUGCUCAAAACGCUUAGGAAUCCAUCAGAAAACAAAACAGGGUUUCUGACUUCAUGAAGCUUCCAUUUUUGUGGGAGAAGACGGACAACAGAAGCUGUAUUUAUUAAACACUUACAUAACAUAGCACUGACUCCAUGGCAGGUGUUAUGCUACACAUUUUAUAAAUACAAAUUCAUUUGAUCCUCAUGAAAAUUCUGAGUUAGGUAUUGUUCAUAUAAAUAAGGAAACCAAGGCAAAGGGGUUAA
rnacentral:lncRNA from 1 species